rnacentral:lncRNA from 1 species
CAGACCCGGUGCCACGUACCAUGGGUGCAAAGGGGAGCAGCAUAGUAGAGACGGGGUUCCACCGUGUUAGCCAGGAUGGUCUCGAUUUCCUGACCUCGUCAUCCUCCCGCCUUGGCCUCCCAAAGUGCUGGGAUUACAGGCUUGAGCCACCGCGCCCCGCUCUUUCGUGUUCCAAAGGCUUUUUAAAUAAACUUCCACUCCUGUCCUGGAUUCUGCUUUAUGGCCCUCAGUCGAAUUCUUUCUUCUGAGGAGGCAAGGACUGAAGUUGCUUCUGACCAGUACAGGAGAAAACGAAUACAGCAGGGAUGACUUCCACCAGCUCCACUUUGCAGCUCUGAGGUGUAUUAAAAAUAAACCUAGAGCCCCACCAAAUGAAUCCGCUGGCACGUGGACCUCAGAUGGGGGAAACUGAGGACUGAAUUCUGACCACCCUCCUUUGUUCUAAAUUUCUUCCUGAAGGACCUGGAAGAAGUCAUGCCACGGGCCAGACCUUAACAUUCCUUUCGGCUUACCCCAGGAUUUCAGACAAAGCUUCACUUUCCUAACCAGUCACAAAUCAGAGAAUUUUUGAUUCCACCUAUGACCUGUGAGCUCCUGCUUCAAGAUAUUCCACCUUUUUUAGGCCAAACCAAUGUAUAACCUCCAAGUGUCGAUUUACACUUUCGACUGUAACUUCUGCUUUCCUGAGAUUUACCCCUGCCUUUAAAAACCCUUGCUUGUAAUCCCUCAGGGAGGCCGUGUAUUUAUUAAUCAUGAGCUGCCCAAUUCUCCUUGCUUGGUGCCCUGCAAAUAAACACCCUCUUUUCUCC